rnacentral:rRNA from 1 species
GACGAACGCUGGCGGCGUGCUUAACACAUGCAAGUCGAACGGAAAGGCCCUGCUUUUGUGGGGUGCUCGAGUGGCGAACGGGUGAGUAACACGUGAGUAACCUGCCCUUGACUUUGGGAUAACUUCAGGAAACUGGGGCUAAUACCGGAUAGGAGCUCCUGCUGCAUGUUGGGGGUUGGAAAGUUUCGGCGGUUGGGGAUGGACUCGCGGCUUAUCAGCUUGUUGGUGGGGUAGUGGCUUACCAAGGCUUUGACGGGUAGCCGGCCUGAGAGGGUGACCGGCCACAUUGGGACUGAGAUACGGACCAGACUCCUACGGGAGGCAGCAGGGGGGAAUAUUGCACAAUGGGCGGAAGCCUGAUGCAGCAACGCCGCGUGCGGGAUGACGGCCUUCGGGUUGUAAACCGCUUUCGCCUGUGACGAAGCGUGAGUGACGGUAAUGGGUAAAGAAGCACCGGCUAACUACGUG